UGGGGAAUAUUGCACAAUGGGCGCAAGCCUGAUGCAGCCAUGCCGCGUGUGUGAAGAAGGCCUUCGGGUUGUAAAGCACUUUCAGCGGGGAGGAAGGCGAUAAGGUUAAUAACCUUGUCGAUUGACGUUACCCGCAGAAGAAGCACCGGCUAACUCCGUGCCAGCAGCCGCGGUAAUACGGAGGGUGCAAGCGUUAAUCGGAAUUACUGGGCGUAAAGCGCACGCAGGCGGUCUGUCAAGUCGGAUAUGAAAUCCCCGGGCUCAACCUGGGAACUGCAUUCGAAACUGGCAGGCUAGAGUCUCGUAGAGGGGGGUAGAAUUCCAGGUGUAGCGAUGAAAUGCGUAGAGAUCUGGAGGAAUACCGGUGGCGAAGGCGGCCCCCUGGACGAAGACUGACGCUCAGGUGCGAAAGCGUGGGGAGCAAACAGG
rnacentral:rRNA from 1 species